CUCUGUAAAUACACACAAUCCACCCAACCUCAGGUGGAAUUUCUCCCCACCUGUCCAGAGUACAACACCUGAUUCAGGAAGCUCCAAUAAAAAGGCUGACAACCUUUGAAUUGCCACUUAAGCACAGCCAUUUAGAGAAGGAAGCUACAAAAGUGAGUGCUCCUUCAACUCAGCAUAAGGAAUCAUGAAGCUUACCGUCAGCCUGCUCGGUCUCAUCACCCUUCUGGCAUCCAAUCUUCCAAGUUCGUCAGCUACUGUAGCUUCAUUAGUGAAUGGCACUCAGACACCAGCAGUGAAUGGCACUCAGCCACCAGCAGUGAAUGGCACUCAGCCACCAGCAGUGAAUGGCACUCAGCCACCAACACCAGCAUGGAAUGGCACUCAGACAUCUACACCAGCAUGGAAUGUCACUCAGCCACCAGCAGUGAAUAACACUAAGCCAUGGAUAAGUAACCCAGCAACCCCAACGAUACGCCCCACAGAUGCUGGGCCAGUUUCGGCGACCAUUACAUCUUUUACCCUGGUCCUGAGCUCUGGAUUCUCUAUAAUCCUCCAUUACAUUCUGCACAAAUAGCCUUCAAGCCAGGACACCAGCUUGGCUAUCCAACACAUACCUGCCUCGGUUUAAUCAAGAGGAGACGACGCACUAUAAUCGUCAUCUCUCUGUUGUAAGCAGUUUUUUUUUCGUUUCUAAUGAAGUCUGUUUGGGAGCAAUCUAUCACCUACAAAAUUCUUUACAAAAUUCAGGCACCUUCUGAUCAUAUUUUCACUUUACAGCAAAAUUCUUGUUGUAAUUCAUGUUGUGACGCACCAUAAAUAAACUAAUUAUCCUUCCAA